CAGGGAAUCUUGCGCAAUGGGCGAAAGCCUGACGCAGCAACGCCGCGUGGGGGAUGACGGCCUUCGGUUGUAAACCCCUUUCAGGAGGGAAGAAAUUGACGGUACCUCCAGAAGAAGCCCCGGCCAACUACGUGCCAGCAGCCGCGGUAAUACGUAGGGGGCGAGCGUUGUCCGGAAUUAUUGGGCGUAAAGAGCUCGUAGGCGGCUCAGCAAGUCGGCGGUGAAAUCCCGAGGCUCAACCUCGGAACUGCCGUCGAUACUGCUGUGGCUAGAGUCUGGUAGAGGAGAAUGGAAUUCCCGGUGUAGCGGUGAAAUGCGCAGUAUAUCGGGAGGAACACCAGUAGCGAAGGCGGUUCUCUGGGCCAGUACUGACGCUGAGGAGCGAAAGCGUGGGGAGCAAACAGGAUUGGAUACCCUGGUAGUCCACGCCGUAAACGUUGGGUACUAGGUGUGGCGUCCCGAUCAACGGGUGCCGUGCCGAAGCUAACGCAUUAAGUACCCCGCCUGGGGAGUA
rnacentral:rRNA from 1 species